AUGCCGGCUAAAGAGUCCAUUGAGGCACGGACAGCGGCCUGCACCAGUUCAGCUGUCGCCUCGACUCGACGUCGCGACAGGGCCAGUGGGCUGGAGCGCACGGAGCCCAAGCCAGGGGCAGCGUGCGGAGCUAUAGCGGGGCCCAGGCAGGGGGACCCGGACGAGCACUAUGACUUCCUGUUCAAGCUGGUGCUGGUGGGCUACGCGAGCGUGGGCAAGACGUACGUGGUGCAGCGCUUCAAGACUGGCGCCUUCUCGGAGCGCCAGGGCAGCACUAUCAGCGUGGUCUUCACCAUGAAGAUGCUGGAGAUCCAGGGCAAGAGGGUCAAGCUGCAGAUCUGGGACACAACUGGCCAGGAACGGUUCCACACCGUUACCCAGAGCUACUACUGCAGUGCCAAUGGGGCCAUCCUUGCCUACGACAUCACGAAGAGGAGCACCUUCCUAUCAGUGCCCCAUUGGAUUGAGGAUGUGAGAAAGUACGCGGGCUCCAGCAUUGUACAGCUGCUGAUUGGGAACAAGUCUGACCUGGCUGAGCUUCAGGAGGUCCAGCUGGCUGAGUCACAGAGCCUGGCUGAGCACUAUGACAUCUUGUGUGCCACUGAGACAUCUGCCAAGGACUCAAGCAAUGUGGAGGAGGCCUUUGUGCAGGUUGCCACUGAGCUCAUCAUGAGACAUGGAGGCCCCAUGUUCAGCGAGAAAAGCACCUACCUCGUCCAACUGGAUAGCAAGGACAUUGAGGAGAGCUGGGGCUGUGGGUGCUGAUGGGCAU